rnacentral:tRNA from 1 species
GGCCGGUUAGCUCAGCUGGUUAGAGCGUGGUGCUAAUAACGCCAAGGUCCUGGGUUCGAUCCCCAUACUGGCCA